GUCCUUACAGUGGCCUAAAGCUCAACACAAUAUUCCCCUCAUCUUCCCUCCCAUUACUUCACUAAGCCUCCACUCCUCAGACUCUAACCUGUGCUCACUCCACUCAAGCACAGUUACAGUAUGUAUGAGAGCAAAGAGCUGUUGAAGGAGGAGAAAUGAAAAUGGGAAUAUGACAAAGCUGCAAAGAUGAGCUUCGAUAACUCAAAUUGGCCUGAGCCCAGCCCCUCAUUCAAGGUUUACACCUGUGUUUCCUGUUCAGAAAGAGCCACUGAAAUUGGAUUGGAACUCAAGAAGUCGUCUUAAACAGAUGGCCAUAAUGCCAAUCAUGGCAAUCCUGAUCUCCGUUUGUUUGUAGCACUCUCCACCACCUCCUGUCCAUCAC